GCCUUUGAUCCCUGUGAUGUCACAAGGAUUUUUAAGUACAUAAGUGUAGUGGAGGGGAUCAAGACGAGGCUAAUGUACCAACCUAUGCGCACAUCUAGCCUGGAUCAGGAAGCUCCAUGAAUCAUCCGUGACGACGUCUCCUCUCUGCCUGCAGCUCCUCUUCCAACUGGGCCGUGAGACGUUCGACGUCCCGCCUUUUCUGGGAUUCCAGCCGCUCGCGCUCCACCGCUUGUUCUCCAUCCAGAGUGAUGCGUAGCUCUUCCAGCGAAGCUUCGCUCUCCUCCCUGAGCACGCGACACACACACACACACACACACACACACACGUUAUUUUGGGGAUUGUGCCAAAGCCUCUCGGAGUUCCUUCAGCAUCCUGUCAGACUCCUCUGCGAGCCUGGUCUCCUCCUCUCUUCUCUCGGACAGGAGACGCUGCCGCAGAGACCUGCGGGGGCGCGUUACAAUUACACGUUUUUAGUAUGACGAAGACGUGCCUACUAGGUCGUUGAUGUCCAGAACCUUCUCCGACAGCUUCAGGGGACAGAACCAGAAACAUUGAGAGGCGGGUCGGCAAAUAACAGCUGCAUGGAUUUGCAAGGCAAAACAGUAACAGUGACAGUAGGAGGAGAGCAGGACGAAGAGAAGGACACAGUGACAGCCGCGCCCGUAGGACAGGUCCCAGCAGCACAGCAGCUAAAAGGAACAACCCCCCCCCAAGUCGCGGUGCAAAGGGACGUCUUGAGCGGCUCCAGUCCCCCAGAGCUGCUGAGGGACCCUCGGAGAGCAGGGGCAGACCCAGAGAGUGGCCCGGGGCCAGAGACAUCCAGACCCCUCAAAGGAGCCAGGCCUCCCAGCGGAGACGGUCAGGGCAGGGCCCGGAUGUCCCCUCUCUCUCUCAAAAGUCACCGAAGCAGCUGCAGAAGCCGAACAGAUGACACCUCCGUGGGCUUUGACCUGCUCAAUCCACCAAAUGGCCCACAAAACUGCCAUGUAGCUCAGAGGAAGAAAAAACACAGACAAAUGAUCAGAAAUGCGGAUGCUCUGCUGAAUCUGGAGAUUAGCGACAUUAAAUACAACACAUCCAGCUUUCCCAGAGACUGGAUCCUUAGAUGUGUUUGUGUGUGUGUGUGUGUGUGUGUUUCCAUCUGUUUGCUUUACUCAAGGGCAAAACAAGUGUGGAUGCGCGUAGUAGGGCAUCUACGUAUGUACAUUCUUUAUAUUAUUAUUUCUUAUAUUUCUAUAUUUUUGUGGUUUCUUAUAUUUUUCUAUCUCUCUUUCUAUUGGUUUUCAAUUGGAGCUUCACGCUGUAGGAGGCCUUUCAGAGAUCCAGCUUUAUAUUCUGUCAAUACGUUCUGUCAAUAUAUUCUGUCAAUUCUUGAAUACGAGAAA